AUUGAACGCUGGCGGCAGGCCUAACACAUGCAAGUCGAGCGGAUGAAGAGAGCUUGCUCUCUGAUUCAGCGGCGGACGGGUGAGUAAUGCCUAGGAAUCUGCCUGGUAGUGGGGGACAACGUUUCGAAAGGAACGCUAAUACCGCAUACGUCCUACGGGAGAAAGCAGGGGACCUUCGGGCCUUGCGCUAUCAGAUGAGCCUAGGUCGGAUUAGCUAGUUGGUGAGGUAAUGGCUCACCAAGGCGACGAUCCGUAACUGGUCUGAGAGGAUGAUCAGUCACACUGGAACUGAGACACGGUCCAGACUCCUACGGGAGGCAGCAGUGGGGAAUAUUGGACAAUGGGCGAAAGCCUGAUCCAGCCAUGCCGCGUGUGUGAAGAAGGUCUUCGGAUUGUAAAGCACUUUAAGUUGGGAGGAAGGGUUGUAGAUUAAUACUCUGCAAUU
rnacentral:rRNA from 3 species